rnacentral:rRNA from 1 species
CCUGGUGGCCAUAGCGGAGGAGCAACACCCGUUCCCAUACCGAACACGGAAGUGAAGACCUCCAGCGCCGAUGGUACUGCGCGGGCAACUGCGUGGGAGAGUAGGUCGCCGCCAGGU